GACGAACGCUGGCGGCGUGCUUAACACAUGCAAGUCGAACGAAGAGCGAUGGAAGCUUGCUUCUAUCAAUCUUAGUGGCGAACGGGUGAGUAACGCGUAAUCAACCUGCCCUUCAGAGGGGGACAACAGUUGGAAACGACUGCUAAUACCGCAUACGAUCUAAUCUCGGCAUCGAGGAUAGAUGAAAGGUGGCCUCUACAUGUAAGCUAUCACUGAAGGAGGGGAUUGCGUCUGAUUAGCUAGUUGGAGGGGUAACGGCCCACCAAGGCGAUGAUCAGUAGCCGGUCUGGGAAGAUGAACGGCCAAAUUGGGACUGGGACACGGCCCAGACUCCUACGGGGGGCAGCAGUGGGGAAUCUUCCGCAAUGGACGAAAGUCUGACGGGGCAACGCCGCGUGAGGGAUGACGGCCUUCGGGUUGUAAAGCUCUGUUAAUCGGGACGAAAGGACUCCUUGCGAAUAGUGAGAAGGAUUGACGGUACCGGAAUAGAAAGCCACGGCUAACUACGUG
rnacentral:rRNA from 1 species